AGAGUUUGAUCCUGGCUCAGGAUGAACGCUGGCGGCGUGCUUAACACAUGCAAGUCGAACGAAGCGCAUAAACGGAUUUCUUCGGAUUGAAAUUUAUGUGACUGAGUGGCGGACGGGUGAGUAACGCGUGGGUAACCUGCCUCACACAGGGGGACAACAGUUAGAAAUGACUGCUAAUACCGCAUAAGCGCACAGCAUCGCAUGAUGCAGUGUGAAAAACUCCGGUGGUGUGAGAUGGACCCGCGUCUGAUUAGCUAGUUGGUGAGGUAACGGCUCACCAAGGCGACGAUCAGUAGCCGACCUGAGAGGGUGACCGGCCACAUUGGGACUGAGACACGGCCCAAACUCCUACGGGAGGCAGCAGUGGGGAAUAUUGCACAAUGGGGGAAACCCUGAUGCAGCGACGCCGCGUGAAGGAAGAAGUAUUUCGGUAUGUAAACUUCUAUCAGCAGGGAAGAAAAUGACGGUACCUGACUAAGAAGCCCCGGCUAACUACGUGCCAGCAGCCGCGGU
rnacentral:rRNA from 1 species